rnacentral:rRNA from 1 species
AUUGAACGCUGGCGGCAGGCUUAACACAUGCAAGUCGAGCGGUAACAGGGGGAGCUUGCUCCCUGCUGACGAGCGGCGGACGGGUGAGUAAUGCAUAGGAAUCUGCCCGGUAGUUGGGGAUAGCCCGGGGAAACCCGGAUUAAUACCGAAUACGCCCUACGGGGGAAAGCAGGGGAUCUUCGGACCUUGCGCUAUCGGAUGAGCCUAUGUCGGAUUAGCUGGUUGGUGGGGUAACGGCCUACCAAGGCGACGAUCCGUAGCUGGUCUGAGAGGAUGAUCAGCCACAUCGGGACUGAGACACGGCCCGAACUCCUACGGGAGGCAGCAGUGGGGAAUAUUGGACAAUGGGGGCAACCCUGAUCCAGCCAUGCCGCGUGUGUGAAGAAGGCUUUCGGGUUGUAAAGCACUUUCAGUGAGGAGGAAAACCUGAUGGUUAAUAUCCAUGAGGCUUGACGUUACUCACAGAAGAAGCACCGGCUAACUCCGUGCCAGCAGCCGCGGUAAUACGGAGGGUGCGAGCGUUAAUCGGAAUUACUGGGCGUAAAGCGCGCGUAGGUGGUUUGGUAAGCGAGAUGUGAAAGCCCCGGGCUUAACCUGGGAACGGCAUUUCGAACUGUCAGACUAGAGUGUGGUAGAGGGUAGUGGAAUUUCCUG